rnacentral:pre_miRNA from 1 species
CAACUACUCCCUCCGUUCCAAAUUACUUGUCGAAGAAAUGGAUGUAUCUAGAACUAAAAUACAUCUAGAUACAUCCAUACCUGCGACAAGUAAUUCGGAACGGAGGGAGAGGGCG